UUUAGGAGCGAUUUGGGAGGUAGUGGCCUAAUACUGCACCAGGGACGCCAAUUCCUGUUCUCGUGAGGGAGUGACUAUGAUGAAGCUUACUGGCCCUUCC
rnacentral:lncRNA from 1 species